GUCGGGAGGGCGGCUAAUACAAGACCUCGCAAGAGGGAAUACGCCCGCCGACUCUAUGCGGCUUUCCUAACCUCCCGACACCCGCCU
rnacentral:ncRNA from 1 species